rnacentral:rRNA from 1 species
CCUUACAACGCUGGCGGCAUGCCUAACACAUGCAAGUCGAACGCUCAUCCGGCUUCGGUCGGAUGGGAGUGGCGCACGGGUGAGUAGCGCGUGGGAACCUGCCCUGUUGUGGGGGAUAACCGAGGGAAACUUCGGCUAAUACCGCAUGCGCCCGGGGAGACCCGGGGAAAGAUUUAUCGCAGCAGGAGGGGCCCGCGUCGGAUUAGCUAGUUGGUGGGGUAACGGCCCACCAAGGCGAUGAUCCGUAGCUGGUCUGAGAGGAUGAUCAGCCACACUGGGACUGAGACACGGCCCAGACUCCUACGGGAGGCAGCAGUGGGGAAUAUUGGACAAUGGGCGCAAGCCUGAUCCAGCAAUGCCGCGUGAGUGAUGAAGGCCUUCGGGUUGUAAAGCUCUUUCGCCCGCGACGAUUAUGACGGUAGCGGGAGAAGAAGCCCCGGCUAACUUCGUGCCAGCAGCCGCGGUAAUACGAAGGGGGCGAGCGUUGUUCGGAUUUACUGGGCGUAAAGGGCGCGUA